rnacentral:rRNA from 1 species
UGGGGAAUCUUGCACAAUGGGGGCAACCCUGAUGCAGCGACGCCGCGUGAGCGAUGAAGCCCUUCGGGGCGUAAAGCUCUUUCGACCGGAACGAUAAUGACGGUACCGGGAGAAGAAGCUGCGGCUAACUACGUGCCAGCAGCCGCGGUAAUACGUAGGCAGCAAGCGUUGUUCGGAGUUACUGGGCGUAAAGAGUGCGUAGGCGGUUUUCUAAGUUCGGUGUGAAAUCUCCCGGCUUAACUGGGAGGGUGCGCCGAAGACUGGGAAGCUGGAAUGUGGGAAAGGCAGGCGGAAUUCCUGGUGUAGCGGUGAAAUGCGUAGAUAUCAGGAGGAACACCGGCGGUGUAGACGGCUUGCUAGACCAUAACUGACGCUGAGGCACGAAAGCGUGGGUAGCAAACA